rnacentral:rRNA from 1 species
AUCCAGCCAUGCCGCGUGUGUGAAGAAGGCCUUUUGGUUAGUAAACGCACUUAAAGCAGUGAAGUAAGACUCCAUGGUUAAUACCCAUGGACGAUGACAUUAGCUGCAGAAUAAGCACCGGCUAUACUCUGUGCCAGCAGCCGCGGUAAUACAGAGGGUGCAAGCGUUAAUCGGAAUUACUGGGCGUAAAGCGAGCGUAGGUGGCUUGAUAAGUCAGAUGUGAAAGCCCCGGGCUUAACCUGGGAACGGCAUCUGAUACUGUUAGAGCUAGAGUAGGUGAGAGGAAGGUAGAAUNNCCAGGUGUAGCGGUGAAAUGCGUAGAGAUCUGGAGGAAUACCGAUGGCGAAGGCAGCCUUCUGGCAUCAUACUGACACUGAGGUUCGAAAGCGUGGGUAGCAAACAGGAUUAGAUACCCUGGUAGUCCACGCCGUAAACGAUGUCUACUAGUCGUUGGGUCCCUUGAGGACUUAGUGACGCAGCUAACGCAAUAAGUAGACCGCCUGGGGAGUACNGCCGCAAGGUUAAAACUCAAAUGANUUGACNNGGGCCCGCACAAGCGGUGGAGCAUGU